UACGUAGGGUGCGAGCGUUAAUCGGAAUUAUUGGGCGUAAAGCGCGUGUAGGCGGCUUGGCAAGUCAGAUGUGAAAGCCCUCGGCUUAACCGAGGAAGUGCGUCUGAAACUGCUGAGCUUGAGUCUCGGAGAGGAUGGCGGAAUUCCGCAAGUAGAGGUGAAAUUCGUAGAUAUGCGGAGGAACACCGGUGGCGAAGGCGGCCAUCUGGACGAGCACUGACGCUGAGACGCGAAAGCGUGGGGAGCAAACAGG
rnacentral:rRNA from 1 species